AACGAUUGAUCAGAAAGAUGGCAUUCACAGGGUAUUUGAACAGUCUAGCGUUUAUAUUUUAGGUAUCAAAUAAAAGAUUAAGGUGUAAUCUGACAACAUAAACUUUUUUAAAGGAUUUCUUUGAGAAAAAGUAAUGAAGAGCAAAGUAAAAUUUAAGUGGAGGAAAUGGUGAGGGACAGACUUGUACGUUUGCUUUAUUCUACCAAGGACCAGAACAUUGAAACCUAUUAGGAAAUUGGUGAGGGAUACACUUGUUCAUUUGCCGUAUUCUACCAAUGAACAGGACAUAGAAACACAUCAGGUAUUUUAUAAACCUUUUUCUCAUACCAGUUUUACUCUAAUUUAUUUGGUUAAAUUCAUGAGGAGUUGUUUCAAAUACAUCUAAUUUUACCAAGGGUCGUUGCCUUUUCUUUUGAAAUUUUAUAUUGUUUAGAAUCCUGAACGCCAUUUAGAAAUACAUGUACAAAUGUUACGAAAUGGUCAAUAUCUGACAUCAUGAAACAAGGAAAAAUAAUUAAAUUCUUCUUACCAAAUUAUGCCCAGCUUUAGCUUUUUAAAAACAGAUUAUGCUUAAACUUGGGAAAUUGGUGAGGGACAGACUUGUUUGUUUGCUUAAAUCUACCAAAGACCAGGGCAUAGAAACAUGUCAGGUACUUUAUAAACCUUUAUUGUCCCAUUGGGGUACAUCUACCAGACAUAUAGAGUUGUACUUUAGCAGCCCAAAGACACGUCUCAAGUUUCCUGACUGGAGAUUUAAUCUACAUGUACUUCUGUAUAAGAUGUACCUCUGAGCACCACUGGGUAUGCAAAAUUUUAUCCUAGACCAUGCGUGAAAAACAUAUGGAUGAGUAAUAAUGGAUCAAUGAUACAAAAAUUUAUCCUAAGCCAUGCGUGAUAAAAAAUGGAUGAGCACUUCUUGACCAGUGAUGCAACAUUAUAUUCUAGACCGUGCGUGAAAACAAAGUUAA